rnacentral:rRNA from 1 species
AUUGAACGCUGGCGGCAUGCUUUACACAUGCAAGUCGAGCGGCAGCGCGGGGUUCAGGCAACUGAGCCCUGGCGGCGAGCGGCGAACGGGUGAGUAAUACAUCGGAACGUACCCAGGAGUGGGGGAUAGCCCGGCGAAAGCCGGAUUAAUACCGCACACGAUCUGUGGAUGAAAGUGGGGGACCUAAGGGCAACUGAGGGCCUCACGCUUUUGGAGCGGCCGAUGUCCGAUUAGCUAGUUGGUGGGGUAAAGGCCUACCAAGGCGACGAUCGGUAGCUGGUCUGAGAGGAUGAUCAGCCACACUGGGACUGAGACACGGCCCAGACUCCUACGGGAGGCAGCAGUGGGGAAUUUUGGACAAUGGGGCAACCCUGAUCCAGCCAUGCCGCGUGCGGGAAGAAGGCC